rnacentral:rRNA from 1 species
GUCUAGCAAUAGAUGAGACCGGCGCACGGGUGCGUAACGCGUAUGCAAUCUACCUUUUACAGAGGGAUAGCCCAGAGAAAUUUGGAUUAAUACCUCAUAGUAUAACGACUCGGCAUCGAGAUGUUAUUAAAGUUCCAACGGUAAAAGAUGAGCAUGCGUCCCAUUAGCUAGUUGGUGUGGUAACGGCACACCAAGGCAACGAUGGGUAGGGGUCCUGAGAGGGAGAUCCCCCACACUGGUACUGAGACACGGACCAGACUCCUACGGGAGGCAGCAGUGAGGAAUAUUGGUCAAUGGGCGCAAGCCUGAACCAGCCAUGCCGCGUGCAGGAUGACGGUCCUAUGGAUUGUAAACUGCUUUUGUACAGGAAGAAACACUCCCUCGUGAGGGAGCUUGACGGUACUGUAAGAAUAAGGAUCGGCUAACUCCGUGCCAGCAGCCGCGGUAAUACGGAGGAUCCAAGCGUUAUCCGGAAUCAUUGGGUUUAAAGGGUCCGUAGGCGGGUUUAUAAGUCAGUGGUGAAAGCCCAUCGCUCAACGAUGGAACGGCCAUUGAUACUGUAGAUCUUGAAUUAUUAGGAAGUAACUAGAAUAUGUAGUGUAGCGGUGAAAUGCUUAGAGAUUACAUGGAGUACCAAUUGCGAAGGCAGGUUACUACUAAUGGAUUGACGCUGAUGGACGAAAGCGUGGGUAGCGAACAGGAUUAGAUACCCUGGUAGUCCACGCCGUAAACGAUGGAUACUAGCUGUUCGGAGCAAUCUGAGUGGCUA